CUUGGUUGUCUACUCAAAUCAU
rnacentral:siRNA from 1 species